rnacentral:rRNA from 1 species
GACGAACGCNGGCGGCGUGCUUAACACAUGCAAGUCGAACGAAGAGCGAUGGAAGUUUGCUUCUAUCAAUCUUAGUGGCGAACGGGUGAGUAACGCGUAAUCAACCUGCCCUUCAGAGGGGGACAACAGUUGGAAACGACUGCUAAUACCGCAUACGAUCUAAUCCCGGCAUCGAGGAUAGAUGAAAGGUGGCCUCUACAUGUAAGCUAUCACUGAAGGAGGGGAUUGCGUCUGAUUAGCUAGUUGGAGGGGUAACGGCCCACCAAGGCGAUGAUCAGUAGCCGGUCUGAGAGGAUGAACGGCCACAUUGGGACUGAGACACGGCCCAGACUCCUACGGGAGGCAGCAGUGGGGAAUCUUCCGCAAUGGACGAAAGUCUGACGGAGCAACGCCGCGUGAGUGAUGACGGCCUUCGGGUUGUAAAGCUCUGUUAAUCGGGACGAAAGGCCUUCUUGCGAAUAGNGAGAAGGAUGACG